UUUCCGUAGGUGAACCUGCGGAAGGAUCGUUAUUGUAUAAACGAGGUGCGAGGGCUGCCGCUGACCCGAACGGUCGCUCAAGUCAGAGUGUAACCACACUCAUCCAUCACACCCCUAUGUGCAUCACUGCGUGGGUCACCCUCUGGCUUGUUUGGAGGGGGGCUUACUUUUUCACACAAACUUUUUAUGUAGUGUAGAAUGUAUUUUAUGUAUUUGUGAUUACGCUCUCAAUACAACUAUCAACAACGGAUAUCGUGGCUCCCGCAUCGAUGAAGAAAG
rnacentral:misc_RNA from 1 species